GUAGGGAAUAUUGGGCAAUGGAUGCAAGUCUGACCCAGCCAUCCCGCGUGCCGGAAGAAGGCCCUCAGGGUUGUAAACGGCUUUUGACGGUGAAGAAUCGACAGGAUGCGUCCUGUUUUGACGGUAGCCGUUGAAUAAGCACCGGCUAACUCCGUUCCAGCAGCCGCGGUAAUACGGAGGGUGCGAGCGUUGUCCGGAUUUAUUGGGUUUAAAGGGUGCGUAGGCUGGAAGGUCAGUCAGCGGUGAAAAGCUGUCGCUUAACGAUAGUCUUGCCGCAGAUACUUCCUUUCUUGGAUGAGGAGGAGGCCACUGGAACGGAUGGUGUAGCGGUGAAAUGCAUAGAUAUCAUCCAGAACACCGAUUGCGAAGGCAGGUGGCUGUACCUUAAUCGACGCUGAUGCACGAAAGCAUGGGGAGCAAACAGGAUUAGAAACCCGUGUAGUCC
rnacentral:rRNA from 1 species